AAUAGAGGCGCGGCGAUCAAAAGUACGCCCCGGGAGCCGGCAAACGGCGAAGAACGGCGCGGAAAGGGAAAGCCGCCGAAACGGGCCCCCUGCAAGGGCACCGUUGGGCGAAGGGAGAAGAUUCCUUCGACUGUCACGGCGAAAACCGCCGUGGGGCGCUAUUCGA
rnacentral:ncRNA from 1 species